AGGGACGUCUGGAUGUCAUCUGGUCUGUCCAGGCCCUCUGCUUAAGCAGCAAGUUGCCCUGGACCAUGUCCAGACAGCUUCUGAAUGUCUCCAAGGAGGGAGAUUCCACCAGCUCUCUGGGCAGCCCGUGCCAGUGUUUGGUUACUUGCACAGUGAAAAAGUGUUUCCUGGUGUUCAAAGGGAACCUUCUGUAUUUCAGUUUGUCCUUCUGGUCCUGUCACUGGGCACCACUGGGAAGAGCCUGCCUCUGUCCUCUUUGCACUCUCCAUUCAGUUGCAGGAGAUCACAGCACACAAGUUAUGAGUGAGGGCAGCCUUGGUAAACUACUGGAACAAUAAAGAAAUAAAUGGAUGAAGUGAGACCAUGGUAGUGACCUGAAGGACUGACAAAUUCUUCAUGAAUCUCUUUUACAAUGACCAAAUAUCUGCAACUCUCUUGACCUCUGUUCACCUUUGAUAUGGAAGUUCCAAACCCAGACUGCUGGCUUCUGCAGAGAGUCAAUCACCUGCUGGAGAUUUCAAAGCCUUGUCCUUGCACAGCAUACAGUCAUGGAUCUGCAUUUAAAGGCCUCCACAUCAGUGAAUUAAAAGAUGUUAUUGGCACAUUGCAGCACAUGAUCUUCUAGUCCCUGGUGCUUAUCUAUAGACUGGAUAUCUCCAAAAUGGAUUGUCAGCUUGGUGGAAUUUAUGCUGUCAUGUUCUGCCUUUAUAAUAUGCAAUUAGUGAUAAUCAUAGCAAUAAACAGCUGAUAAAAACAGCCAAAUGUAUUGAGAGCAGGCAUAAAACAUCAUAAAAAUAAAUGGCUUUUCUGCAAUGCAGAGGAUGCAUCUUUAAAAUCUGUACUAGGCCACCAUUAUUUGUUGGAGCUGCUAAUAACCAAAGACUGUCAUAGUAUAUUUUAUAAUCUUUAGGGAUGAAUGACAGCAACAACAAAAAAAAAACAGCAUAGUGAUCAGAUGUUUUUCACGUGCCUUCAAUUUGUCCCUGGAACUGUUGAGGUGAAAGGCUUAUACUGUAAAUGAAUGACAACUCAGAAAACUCUGCAAUUUUCCAGGGGGAAUUAAUUUAACUAAUGACAUUACAGGAAUAUCCUUUGUGUCACAUGUUAAAGGUUAUACCAUGAUAAAGUUGUAAAUUUACUGGAUUCAGUAUUAGGGAGAGUCAACAGCAAGCAUGCCAACCUGCACAGCAUUUACAGAAGUUAGCCUCAAUCUUCAGGCUUUCCAUCCUGACUAGCCUGCAAAAACAAGCAGGUUUCUCAAAGAGAGAUGGGAAAAUGAAACCAGCCCACUUCAGAAUUUCAUUAAAGAACAGAAACUGUGGUACAUGAGUUUCAAAGACUUCCAAAGCUUCCAGUUUCUACUAUUACUUGAAGCUACACUCUGUAUCUCUGAAAGUGUGCAUUGCUUCUUUAAAUAAAUAGGAACCACAUACAAUGUA